rnacentral:rRNA from 1 species
GACGAACGCUGGCGGCGUGCUUAACACAUGCAAGUCGAACGGAAAGGCCCCUUUUGGGGUACUCGAGUGGCGAACGGGUGAGUAACACGUGAGUAACCUGCCCUUGACUUCGGGAUAACUUCAGGAAACUGGGGCUAAUACCGGAUAGGAAUCCUUGCUGCAUGGUGGGGGUUGGAAAGCUUCGGCGGUUUUGGAUGGACUCGCGGCUUAUCAGCUUGUUGGUGGGGUAGUGGCUUACCAAGGCUUUGACGGGUAGCCGGCCUGAGAGGGCGACCGGCCACAUUGGGACUGAGAGACGGCCCAGACUCCUACGGGAGGCAGCAGUGGGGAAUAUUGCACAAUGGGCGGAAGCCUGAUGCAGCAACGCCGCGUGCGGGAUGACGGCCUUCGGGUUGUAAACCGCUUUCAGCAGGGGCGAAGCUUGUGGUGACGGUACCUGCAGAAGAAGCACCGGCUAACUACGUG